CUCACCAUGGGAUGCAGCUGGAUCAUCUUCUUCCUCCUGUCAGUAACUACAGGUGUCUACUCUCAGGUCCAGCUGCAGCAGUCUGGGGCUGAAUUGGGGAAAUCUGGGGCCUCAGUGAAGUUGUCCUGCACGGCUUAUGGCUACACCUUCACAGACCACUAUCUUACCUGGGUGAAGCAGAUGCCGGAACAGGGACUGGAGUGGAAUGCAUGGAUUAUUCCUGGAAGUGGUGAUACUGACUACAAUCAGAAGUUCCAGGGCAAGGACACACUGACUGCAGACAAAUCCUGCAGCACAGCCUACAUGGAGCUCAGCAGCCUGACAUCUGAGGACUCUGCAGUCUAUUACUGUGUGGACACAGUGUUGCAACCCACAUCCUGA